GGAAUCUCAAUAUGAGGAAAUAAAGUAAACUUAUCAAGAUACAAGUUCAUAUAUAAUGGAAUUGGAGGUUGGCUUGGACCCUCAGCCUAGCUUCCCUGCUCUCAGACAGUGGUGGGUGGAAGUUGUUCAACAACCUGGGAGAGAGAACAAGAUGGGAGUGGUGGUGAGAGUAAGUUCUUGAGAAAAUAACAGUCUCCUCUAGGGACUGGAUUUGAUCGUCAGCCUGUGUUCGCCAAUCCUUGUUCUUGUUAAACCCUCUAGGGUAGUUGGUUCUUGCUUUCUUACUUCACGUGCACAAAGACAGACACCUGAGGACAUAAAUGCUUCCACCUCUGACCCUUUGAAAUGGCCUCUCCCAUCCUAUGCUGCCGCUGCCCCUUCUUUGGGUCAAAUUCGCUUCAUGAUGCAGGAGUGUGUCUUUCC
rnacentral:lncRNA from 10 species